UGGGGAAUAUUGGACAAUGGGCGCAAGCCUGAUCCAGCGACGCCGCGUGAGUGAUGAAGGCCUUCGGGUUGUAAAGCUCUGUUGAGGGAGAAGAAAACGUUUGGCGUGAAUAACUCCAGACCUUGACGGUAUCCCUUUAGAAAGCACCGGCUAACUCUGUGCCAGCAGCCGCGGUAAGACAGAGGGUGCAAACGUUGCUCGGAAUUACUGGGCGUAAAGCGCGUGUAGGCGGGCCAACAAGUCGGACGUGAAAUCCCUGAGCUCAACUCAGGAACUGCAUCCGAAACUGUUGGCCUGGAGUGGUGGAGAGGGAAGCAGAAUUCCUGGUGUAGAGGUGAAAUUCGUAGAUAUCAGGAGGAACACCGGUGGCGAAGGCGGCUUCCUGGACACUUACUGACGCUGAGACGCGAAAGCGUGGGGAGCAAACAG
rnacentral:rRNA from 1 species